AUGAGCAGCCGGAUCUCCAAGUAAGGAGGCCAGGGCCGCUGGAUUCGGUGACUCCAGUCUCCUCGCUGGCGGAUCUGGCGCCCAGA
rnacentral:pre_miRNA from 1 species